CCUGAGCAAGGAGCGGGUCCGUCGCGGAGCCGGAGGGCAGGAGGAACAUGACAUCGCGGAGAUGGUUUCACCCGAAUAUCACUGGUGUGGAGGCAGAAAACCUACUAUUGACAAGAGGAGUUGAUGGCAGCUUUUUGGCAAGGCCUCGUAAAAGUAACCCUGGAGACUUCACACUUUCUGUUAGAAGAAAUGGAGCUGUCACUCACAUCAAGAUUCAGAACACUGGUGAUUACUAUGACCUGUAUGGAGGGGAGAAGUUUGCCACUUUGGCUGAGUUGGUCCAGUAUUACAUGGAACAUCAUGGGCAAUUAAGAGAAGAAUGGAGAUGUUAUGGAGCUUAAAUAUCCUCUGAACUGUGCAGAUCCUACCUCUGAAAGGUAGUUUCAUGGACACCUCUCUGGGAAAGAAGCAGAGAAAUGAUUAACUGAAAAAGGAAAGCAUGGUAGCUUUCUUGUACGAGAGAGCCAGAGCCACCCUGGAGAUUUUGUUCUCUCUGUGUGCACCAGUGAUGACAAAGGGGAGAGCAGUGACGGCAAGUCUAAAGUGACCCAUGUCAUGAUUCGCUGUCAGGAACUGAAAUAUGAUGAUGGAGGAGAACGGUUUGAUUCUUUGACAGAUCUUGUGGAACAUUACUAGAAGAAUCCUAUGGUGGAAACAUUGGGUACAGUACUACAACUUAAGCAGCCCGUUAGCACGACUCAUAUAAAUGCUGCUGAAAUAGAAAGCAGAGUUCGAGAACUAAGCAAAUUAGCUGAGACCACAGAUAAAGUCAAACAAGGCUUUUGGGAAGAAUUUGAGACACUACAACAACAGGAGUGCAAACUUCUCUGUAGACGAAAAGAGGGUCAAAGGCAAGAAAACAAAAACAAAAAUAGAUAGAAAAACAUCCUGCCCUUUGAUCAUACCAGGGUUGUCCUACACAACGGGGAUCCCAAUGAGCCUGUUUCGGAUUACAUAAAUGCAAAUAUAAUCAUGCCUGAAUUUGAAACCAAGUGCAACAAUUCAAAGCCCAAAAAGAGUUACAUUGCCACACAAGGCUGUCUGCAAAACACGGUGAACGACUUUUGGCGGAUGGUGUUCCAAGAAAACUCCCGAGUGAUUGUUAUGACAACGAAAGAAGUGGAGAGAGGAGAGAGUAAAUGUGUCAAAUACUGGCCUGAUGAGUAUGCUCUCAAAGAAUAUGGGGUCAUGCAUGUUAGGAACGCCAAAGAAAGUGCUGCUCAUGACUAUACGCUAAGAGAACUUAAACUUUCAAAGGUUGGACAAGCUCUACUCCAGGGGAAUACGGAGAGAAUGGUCUGGCAAUACCACUUUCGGACCUGGCCGGACCACGGAGUGCCCAGCGACCCUGGGGGUGUGCUGGACUUCCUGGAGGAGGUGCACCACAAGCAGGAGAGCAUCAUGGAUGCAGGGCUGGUCGUGGUGCACUGCAGUGCUGGAAUUGGCUGGACAGAGACGUUCAUUGUGAUUGAUAUUCUUAUUGACAUCAUCAGAGAGAAAGGUGUUGACUGCGACAUUGACAUUCCCAAAACCAUCCAGAUGGUGCGAUCUCAGAGGUCAGGGAUGGUCCAGACAGAAGCACAGUACCGAUUUAUCUAUAUGGCGGUCCAGCAUUAUAUUGAAACACUACAGCGCAGGAUUGAAGAAGAGCAGAAAAGCAAGAGGAAAGGGCACGAAUAUACAAAUAUUAAGUAUUCUCUAGCGGACCAGAUGAGUGGAGAUCAGAGCCCGCUCCCGCCUUGUACUCCAACGCCACCCUGUGCAGAAAUGAGAGAACACAAUGCUAGAGUCUAUGAAAAUGUGGGGCUGAUGCAACAGCAGAAAAGUUUCAGAUGAGCAAACCUUCCAAAACUUCAGCACAGAAAUAGAUGUGGACUUCACUCUCUCCCUAAAAAGAUCAAGAACAAAUGCAAGAAAGUUGAUGUGAAGACAGUAUUUGGAUUUGAAAGGCUUGUAUUGUGGUUGACUACCUUUUGAUAAGCAAAAUUUGAAAACAUUUAAAGACCACUGUAUUUUAACU